GGGGACUUCUGCUGCGGCGCCUGGAGCACCUCUCCUCCUCCUUCUGCACUGACCUUGGCGCCUGCAAGGCUGUUCCUCACUCCUCUCACUCUCCCAGCUGCUGUAUGGCGCAGCGUUUAUUUUCCCUGUCUUAAAUAUGCUCUCACAGAGGCGCAAAACAACAUCAGUUAUUGGCUAGGCUCUGGUCAGCAGUGGAGCCCUUACCAAACAUGGGGCAGCUUCUAGAUCCUUCUCACAGAAGCCAGCCUUAUGGCCCCCUGCUACCAAAACCUUGCCACGUAAACCCACUACAACUUCUCAAUGAAGAAGAUAGAGGUUUUUAAGAAAUUUAAAUCCUUUUAAGUGCUUGUGGGAUAUUUAGGGUAAUGUCACACCUUUGCCAAGCCAGCAUGAAAAACAGCAUUAACUAAGUAGUGAAGCAGUCUGUGUGGACACAUUUUCAAGCUGUUUAAUAUGUCCGACAUGCUUAGUAAAUAUUCACAAAAAUUCCUCCAAUAUUUCCCCCCCUAAUAAGGGGAAAAAAGUAAAAGGAGUUUCUGGAACUACACCAAUUCUUCCAAAUAAAAUACUCACAUAUAUGUCUUUUCUUGGUAAUGUGUUUGCAAACUCUGAACAAAAAUGAAAAUAAAGAAGUAUAAAUUACUUCUGCUGUCUGAUCUAAGCCUGUAGAAAAGCUGCAGGUGAAGCUACAAGCUAAAAUUCACAAGAGGGUCAGAACUGAUUUUAUAGGUAAUUAGCAAGGGAAGUUGUGUUGUCACCACACUUCACACUGCCUAGGAAAAGAGAAGUGUCCUUUACUCAUUCACUGCUUGGUCUUGCUCAGACGUGUUCUCUGAGGCUAGAAUAUCAGGAUCUAUUUGCCAACAUCUCCUGCCUGUUUUCUGUGUACAGGCAGAAGAGGACUGUCAAGAAGAUCUCUGCUCUUCUCCUUUGGAGUGCUGGCAGCAAAGGAAGACAAUUGGGCUGCAGAACUACAGAGCUGAAUAUGCUUGUUGCCUCCUUCACUACCAGGAACAAAAUAGGCCUGCUGGAAGAUGACAUUCAUCCGUGUCAUGUUUUCUCUACAAGAUGUCAACACAGAGCUGCCACCACUCAGAAAGGCAUGCUUCACUUUAAAGCCUCAGCCCCCCAGACUGGAGAUGAGCUAAGCAUAACCCUGACCAGCAUCAGUCUAACAGUAUUGUUAGUAUAACGUAUUGUAUGUUGAAUUUCCUGCCUCUGAAAUAUUGUCUUGCUUUUAAGGUUGCAUAUUUACAAAGG
rnacentral:lncRNA from 1 species